AUAUUAUUUUUAUAGAUUUUUGCAAAAUUACGAAAAAUAGUUUUAUUUUUAAUGAAGGAAAAAAAGUAACAUAGUAAAACGAAAAAUAUUAAGGGACUACACCAAUCCACUAGAGCUGCAGGAAACAGCAAAUUUUCAUCUGAAUAAAGAAGCUUUUCGAAUGUUGUUAAACAUCGUUUAAACUCACCUGCCUCCUUCAAAUAUUCCUUGCGUUAUUCAGCUUGCAGCGACAUUGCUUUUUUGGCCGAAGUACAGUAUCAAUUGUAUGGAGAAAUGUACUAACGGUUUUGGAAAGACACAUAUGUCCUUUAUAAUACAUAAAGUACUUCAGAACUUAAAGAAAAUUAAAGUCUACAUUUUUUAAAAAGUUGGCCAACGGUAAUCAAAGCUUUCCUGAUUUUUUAAAUUAUCGCGGAACGCCAUUAAGAUGGUAAGAAAAAUAUAUAUGUAUGUAUAUUAAGAUAUGGGAAAAUAAAAAAAUAUUUGCAUUCAUAUAAAAAAU